CGGCCAUUUUUUUUUUUGUAUUUUUAGUAGAGACAGGGUUUCACCAUGUUGGCCAGGCUGGCCUCAAAGUCCUGACCUCAGGUGAUCCACCUGCAUCGGCCUCCCAGAGUGCUAGGAUUACAGGUGUGAGCCAUUGCGCCCAGCCUCCAGCUAAUUUUUAAAAUUUUUUUGUAGAAACGAGGUCUCACUAUGUUGCCCAGGCUAGUCCCCAAUUCCUGGGCUCAAGUGAUCCUCCUGCCUUGGCCUGCUACAGUGCUGAGAUUCCAGGCAUGAGCCAUCCCUGCCUGGCCCAAGAACAACAGUUAUUGCAGCAAAGAAAGAGUUUAAUAAUCACUAAGCAAUGGCAAGUCAUUAAUGCUUCCUAGUCCUUAGCGAAGUUUAAUCCCCUACCAUAAUUCUAAUUUUGUUUUAUGAAUGUACCUUUAAUCUCCAGACAAGAAAGGGGAUCAGUUUCCCUUGACUCCAAGUUUAACUAUGACUACAUUCCUCUCAUAGUUUUAUUGGUCUCUCUACUAUAAUAAGCAAAACAAAAACAAGUGAGCAGUUAAGGUUAAAAGCAAGAUGGAGUUGGUCAUGUUAGAGUUCUCUCAUUAUUUAUAAUUAUGCAAGGGUGGUUUUAGGAUUAAUUGGCAUAGAAGUGUCUUCUUGGCUUGAACCUUCAGCAGGAUUUUCUGAGACUAUACUCUGGAAUAAAAAUGUGUGUGUGACGAGUGCCAAUCACUAUGAUCUGUUAUACGAAAGAAGGACCAGACAAAAGGCAACCUUCAUUUUACAUUCACAAGAUGCCAGACCCAGGGCCCAGCUACCCGAAGAGAAAGUGAAGGACUUGGAAUGCAGUCGGCUCUACCUGACUUCCAUCCUGCUUGUAAGUAAUGAGGAAGAAACAAAAGUGAAGAAGCGGGGAAUACAAGAGAUCAGUAUACAAAGAGGAUAGACUGUAUUUCUGUUUAAAUAGAUGAAAUCUAUAUUCAAAUUCAGGCAGAAAAAAAAAGAAAAUUGAGGCAGAAGAGGAGGAAAAAACCUUCCCUAGCUUUUCACUUGCUGACUUUGUUACAAGACAAAGUUACACAAACCCACUGAACUCUUUCAGCCUGUUUUUCCACUCUGCUUAGACAAUCCUAUAGUCUUUUUCCUAUUUUUAACACGAUAGGCUGCUUGGCAUCCACCCUCUAAUCAUAGAAGGAUGCUACCCAAACCAGAGUGCAUAAAAUUGAUUCCAAUUGUAAUGAGCCCUGAGGAGUUUAUCGAAAAUCUUUCAUGCUUUCAACUUUGCUUGUAAACAACAUCAUUUUACUCACAGACAAAGAAGAGUUUGCCAAUUGCAGACAGACUGUGUCAUCAAUGGAGUCACAGGGUGUGUCUGCUGGAAUUGAGCCUCCCUGUGCUAUUGGUGGUGAUAUGAUGAGACUGGUCUCAGCACUUCAAGGUGCUUUUGCCCUGGUCCUGAGCUAGGUUGGCCUCAGUCCCUGGAGGUAAAUUUGUACUCAGUGUGCAGUUGACUGUGAGCCUUACUUUCCAAGACGAAUUGAAGGUCUUUCCCCCUUCUUCCCCUUCUCCUCUGCUUCCACCCUUGAUUCGUGUUAAGUGUUCUAUAGCUGGGCUAACAAAUCACCACGCCUUCUGUGGUUUUAAAACAACACAAAUUUAUUAUCUCGCAGUUCUGGAGGUCUCAGAAGUCUGACAUUAUUUUGACUCGAUUAAGAUUAGGUGUAGGCAGUCCUGCAUUCCUUCUGGAAGAUAAGCGAAGGAGCUGUUUCCAUGCCUUUUCCGGCCGCUAGAGGCUGCCUGCAUUUCUUGGCUUGUGGUCCCUUACCCUAUCUUCACAGCCAGGAGCGUGGCAUCUUGUGUCCUCUCUGCCCUCUACUUAUGUCCUUACAUCUUGUCCACAACCCUCUUCAGUCAUCAUCUCUAUUCUCAGGACCUGUGACACCAUUCUAAAUGAUUCUUUCAAGCAGUUGUGGCAAAUACACAAAAUUUAGUGUUGGUCAUGUAUUUCAGAUCACUGGAGCCGGGUUGUUGGCUCUUCUCAGCUGUGAGGCAGGCACUGCUCCACUGUGUAACCACAAGCUCCAUGGACGCACAGUCAGCUGUAGCAGGGGCCUGGAGCUCCUCUUACCAGGCAUGAUGUGAGGGGACAGUACACCCAUCCUUCUCCCAGAGAAGGGAGAUUUAGGGACCCAGGUGCUCAAGUUACUCUUUCCAAAGAAAGUUUCCAUGAAAGGAAAAAGUUUAGACAAAAUAAAUUUUACAGAGUUUGAGCAUUAAGGCAUUCAGCAAUCGGGCAGCACUCAGACACAGAAGAGAUGCAGAGAGCUCUGCUCCAGCAGACUGAACAGCAAGCUUUUGCAGGCUGACCAUGAAAACAAAGGAAUUACUCAACUGACUCCAGCCAGGCCUCAUUUGAGUAUGAUCUUGUGAAAAGUCCCUACUUACAUAACUAACAGCUAGUUGGCUGUGUGUGACCAGUUGCUAGUUGGCUGCUUGUGAUAGAGUACUAGUUGGCUGCCUGUGAUUGGUUGCUAAUUAGCUGUUUGUGGCUGGGUGUUUGAGAUUGGUUCCCAGUUGGCCGUUUGUGAUUGACUACUAGUUGAUUGUUAGUGACCGCUUACUGGUUUGCUACUCGUGAUUGGUUGCUGGUUGGCUUUUUAUAAUUAAUCAUUAGUUGGCUGCUGGUGUCUGGUUGUUACUUAGCUGUUUGUGAUUGGUUGCUAGUUGGCUGUUUGUGAUUGGUUGCUAGUUGGUUGUUUGUGAAUGGUUGCUAGUUCACUGAUUGGUUGCUAGUUGGUUGUGACUGGUUGCUAGUUGGCUGUUUCUGAUUGGCUGAUUAUUGGUUGUUGUCUCCCCCCCACCACUCCCAACCCCCCCCCAAAAAAAUAAUAAUAAUCAGUUUCAAGAAAUGCUUCCAAGUUGAACUUUGGUUUGCCUGUGUAAGUGUUCCAGGUACAGAACCAACCCCAGGCUAAUGGCCUCCUGGAUAUUUUGCUUUAGCACCUCCAAUUUCCAAAUAAAUUUCCAUCUUCAACUUUAGUACUUGCCCAUGCAAGAGUAAAUAAAAAAGUGAUUCUUUUUCUAACUCCUUUGCAAAUGAGGAAGUUGACACAUAAAUGAUCUUAGACUCUCAGUGGAAUCCUAGAGAAAAGGAAUUCCAUUUUUGCAUCCUGUCAUACACAGUCAUUUCUGCUGCUGGAGUGCCACAUGUGUUCCUAAAAAUCGCUGCAAUCUACAGAAUUGUGUAAUAAAAAACUACUGGGUUUGGCUGGGUGUCGUGGCUCAUGGCCUAUUCCUAGAAUUCUAAGCCACCCUGUCAUUAUUGUAGUUGCCAUACACACAAAUACUAUAUUUAUAUAUAAAGAACCAUAAUUUUAAAGGAUAGAACUUAAAUAAAAAUUAUCUGACCUUGUGUCAUUAUAAUUGCUUUAGAAGUUUUGCUUUAAAAUUACUCAAUCAUGCUUAACUUACAUGGUUUUACCAUUAAUUCAGUUCCGUAAUUUCUUAUCAACAAUUUAUCAAUCCAGGCCUAAAAAGUGUUUUCCUCAAUCCGGGGGAAAAAAGUGUAUUCGGAGACAACCUGCCCCGCACUGACAGGAGGAUGCUUUUAGUCUUUACUGAUCCCACUUCGUAUGAAUACUUUUAUGUUUCACUCCAGGAAUAUUGACCGAUUUGUGUAAAGGGUGCUGCCUCGGACCCCACUGGGGUCCUACACAGUGGAGAGUGCGUGUAAUUUGUUACUUUUCUAUAAACCAAAAAUUCCUGACUUUCAAAACACAUUGAGCCCAAGGGGGAUAAGGAAUUGAAAGCCUGCACGCUUUUCAAAGCAUUUUUCCCGUCAAGCAGGUAACGUGUGUGAGGUUUUAGUGCAGCUGCUGCAGAGGUUGCUGGGGUCCCUAAAUGUGCUCUCCUCUUAGCGCUUGGCUGCACCCAAUACCUAGCCAUUUUCGCAGACACCUGGACCGGAUGAGCAGUGGAACCUGAGGCAAGGAGAUGCUGAAGCUUCUGCGUCAUCCGGGUAAAGAACAGCCUCUCGCCAGGCACGGUGGCUCACGCCUGUAAUCUAGCACUUUGGGAGGCCGAGGCAAGCGAAUCACCUGAGGUCGGGAGUUUGACACCAGCCUGACCAACAUGGAGAAACCCUGUCUCUGCUAAAAAUACAAAAUUAGCUGGUCAUGGUGGUGCAUGCCUGUAAUCCCAGCUACUCAGGAGGCUAAGGCAGAAGAAUCGCUUGAACCCGGGAAGCGGAGUUUGCAGUAGGCCAAGAUCACGCCAUUGCAAUCCAGCCUGGGUAACAAGAGCAAAACUCGAAAGAAAGAGAGAAGGAAAGAAGGAAAGAAGAAGGAAAGAAAGAAAGAAAGAACAGCCUCUCGCUCUGAACUUCCAGGCUCCCUUACCUGCCCAGCUUCUAGCAGCUUGAAGUGGUCAUGACUGAAGCUGACUUUAAAACCCUGUGCUGGGUGUGGCGGAGACACUCUGCUAGUCCCAGUUCCUGAAUGACUCUGUGGAGCAGAGACCACUAAUUCACCAAGAAAGGUUACCUGAGAGAAAGUUUUCUGCUGUUUAAUCUACACUAUUUGGGGUUAUCUUUGGUAUAGCACCUGGCCUUUACCUAUUAUGAGAUCAUCAACAUCCAGUUAGCACAUAGUGACUUAAUGAGGUUUCAUUAUUUCUUUCAGAAAAAGAAAAUUU
rnacentral:lncRNA from 1 species